AGGACGAACGCUGGCGGCGUGCUUAACACAUGCAAGUCGAGCGGAAAGGCCACUUCGGUGGUACUCGAGCGGCGAACGGGUGAGUAACACGUGAGUAGUCUGCCCCUGGCUUCGGGAUAGCCACCGGAAACGGUGAUUAAUACCGGAUAUGACGCGCCUUCGCAUGUUGGUGUGUGGAAAGUUUUUCGGCCAGGGAUGUGCUCGCGGCCUAUCAGCUUGAUGGUGAGGUAAUGGCUCACCAUGGCUUCGACGGGUAGCCGGCCUGAGAGGGUGACCGGUCACACGUGGGACUGAGACACGGCCCAGACUCCUACGGGAGCAGCAGUGGGAAUAUGGACAAGUGGGCGAAGCCUGAUCCAGCAACGCGCGUGAGGAUGACGGCUUCGGGUUAUAACCUCUUUACAGUACCGACGAAGCGACGAAGUCGGACGGUAGGUACAGAAGAACGCCGAACCGGACCAACUUACGCGACCAGCCGACG
rnacentral:rRNA from 1 species